rnacentral:rRNA from 1 species
GAUGAACGCUGGCGGCGUGCCUAAUACAUGCAAGUCGAGCGAACGGACGAGAAGCAUGCUUCUCUGAUGUUAGCGGCGGACGGGUGAGUAACACGUGGAUAACCUACCUAUAAGACUGGGAUAACUUCGGGAAACCGGAGCUAAUACCGGAUAAUAUUUUGAACCGCAUGGUUCAAAAGUGAAAGACGGUCUUGCUGUCACUUAUAGAUGGAUCCGCGCUGCAUUAGCUAGUUGGUAAGGUAACGGCUUACCAAGGCAACGAUGCAUAGCCGACCUGAGAGGGUGAUCGGCCACACUGGAACUGAGACACGGUCCAGACUCCUACGGGAGGCAGCAGUAGGGAAUCUUCCGCAAUGGGCGAAAGCCUGACGGAGCAACGCCGCGUGAGUGAUGAAGGUCUUCUGAUCGUAGAACUCUGUUAUUAGGGAAGAACAUAUGUGUAAGUAACUGUGCACAUCUUGACGGUACCUAAUCAGAAAGCCACGGCUAACUACGUG